GAUGAACGCUGGCGGCGUGCCUAAUACAUGCAAGUCGAGCGAACAGACGAGGAGCUUGCUCCUCUAACGUUAGCGGCGGACGGGUGAGUAACACGUGGAUAACCUACCUAUAAGACUGGGAUAACUUCGGGAAACCGGAGCUAAUACCGGAUAAUAUAUUGAACCGCAUGGUUCAAUAGUGAAAGACGGUUUUGCUGUCACUUAUAGAUGGAUCCGCGCCGCAUUAGCUAGUUGGUAAGGUAACAGCUUACCAAGGCAACGAUGCGUAGCCGACCUGAGAGGGUGAUCGGCCACACUGGAACUGAGACACGGUCCAGACUCCUACGGGAGGCAGCAGUAGGGAAUCUUCCGCAAUGGGCGAAAGCCUGACGGAGCAACGCCGCGUGAGUGAUGAAGGUCUUCGGAUCGUAAAACUCUGUUAUUAGGGAAGAACAAAUGUGUAAGUAACUAUGCACGUCUUGACGGUGCCUAAUCAGAAAGCCACGGCUAACUACGUG
rnacentral:rRNA from 1 species